GGAGAAUAUUGCACAAUGGGGGAAACCCUGAUGCAGCGACGCCGCGUGGAGGAAGAAGGUUUUCGGAUUGUAAACUCCUGUCGUUAGGGACGAUAAUGACGGUACCUAACAAGAAAGCACCGGCUAACUACGUGCCAGCAGCCGCGGUAAAACGUAGGGUGCAAGCGUUGUCCGGAAUUACUGGGUGUAAAGGGAGCGCAGGCGGACCGGCAAGUUGGAAGUGAAAACUAUGGGCUCAACCCAUAAAUUGCUUUCAAAACUGCUGGCCUUGAGUAGUGCAGAGGUAGGUGGAAUUCCCGGUGUAGCGGUGGAAUGCGUAGAUAUCGGGAGGAACACCAGUGGCGAAGGCGACCUACUGGGCACCAACUGACGCUGAGGCUCGAAAGCAUGGGUAGCAAACAGGAUUAGAUACCCUGGUAGUCCAUGCCGUAAACGAUGAUUACUAGGUGUUGGAGGAUUGACCCCUUCAGUGCCGCAGUUAACACAAUAAGUAAUCCACCUGGGGAGUACGACCGCAAGGUUGAAACUCAAAGGAAUUGACGGGGGCCCGCACAAGCAGUGGAGUAUGUGGUUUAAUUCGAAGCAACGCGAAGAACCUUACCAGGUCUUGACAUCCGAUGCAUAGCUUAGAGAUAAGUGAAGUCCUUCGGGACAUCGAGACAGGUGGUGCAUGGUUGUCGUCAGCUCGUGUCGUGAGAUGUUGGGUUAAGUCCCGCAACGAGCGCAACCCUUAUUGCCAGUUACUACGAAAGAGGACUCUGGCGAGACUGCCGUUGACAAAACGGAGGAAGGUGGGGAUGACGUCAAAUCAUCAUGCCCUUUAUGACCUGGGCUACACACGUACUACAAUGGCGUUUAACAAAGAGAAGCAAGACCGCGAGGUGGAGCAAAACUCAAAAACAACGUCUCAGUUCAGAUUGCAGGCUGCAACUCGCCUGCAUGAAGUCGGAAUUGCUAGUAAUCGCGGAUCAGCAUGCCGCGGUGAAUACGUUCCCG
rnacentral:rRNA from 2 species